GAUGAACGCUAGCGGCAGGCUUAACACAUGCGAGUCGAGGGGUAUUUAUCUUCGGAUAGAGAGACCGGCGCACGGGUGCGUAACGCGUAUGCAAUCUACCUUUUACAGAGGGAUAGCCCAGAGAAAUUUGGAUUAAUACCUCAUAGUAUAUAGACUCGGCAUCGAGAUUAUAUUAAAGUCACAACGGUAAAAGAUGAGCAUGCGUCCCAUUAGCUAGUUGGUAAGGUAACGGCUUACCAAGGCUACGAUGGGUAGGGGUCCUGAGAGGGAGAUCCCCCACACUGGUACUGAGACACGGACCAGACUCCUACGGGAGGCAGCAGUGAGGAAUAUUGGACAAUGGGCGCAAGCCUGAUCCAGCCAUGCCGCGUGCAGGAUGACGGUCCUAUGGAUUGUAAACUGCUUUUAUACGAGAAGAAACACUGCUACGUGUAGCAGCUUGACGGUAUCGUAAGAAUAAGGAUCGGCUAACUCCGUG
rnacentral:rRNA from 1 species